rnacentral:lncRNA from 1 species
GGAGCUGGAGCUGGAGCUGCGAAUUCGGAGUCCCGGUUCCCUGUGCCACCUGGCGAGCUCAGCAAACUAAAAGUCUCUUUGUCUUCAUCGUUUCCGGCACUGAUGUGAGCACAUCAUAAGCACAAGACCUGGACACCUUUACAAUCAGAGGGCCUAGGACUGGAGCUCUGGAUCUGACCGGAGCAAAGAGGAAGCACGCAAAUCCGGACAUGACGACGAGGAGGCAGUAGAGACCCAUCCUCAACUACCCCCUGAGUGCCGAUCCCACCUGUGAAAGGGGAGGAGCAGAUCUGGGGAAGGGAUAUGCCCAGAGGAAAUCAACAAGACCAAAGAGACGUCAGAGUCCUGAUGGCCAAAAUCAGACACCAGCUUUCCUGAGAAGGCAGAAGAGAGAGCCCCAUAGAAGCAGUGGGGGCUCAGAAGGUGCCCUUGUUGAGCUGCUUGAGGCAGAAGGCACAGACGAAGUGCUCGGGGUGGAACUUCUUGGCCAUGGCGGUGAUGCAGCGGCCGGUGAUGGGCUUCUGGCAGCCAGAACACAGCGAGCCGCGCCGCUCGUGGUAGUGCACCUCACAGUAGGGCUGCCCGUCGUGCUCGAAGAAGCUGCCGUUCACGAAUGGCGUGAAGCAUUCCUGCCAGGCGGAGAGAGGGGCUCAGGGAGCUGCCCCUCGGGCUAGAGCUGCACCCUGUGUGAUGGGGCCGAGGUGGGCAUAGUCGGCACGCUCGGAGUGACUCCUACUUGCUAGGCGUUUCCCAUGUGCCGUGUUGUCCUAAACGCUCAUUUUUCAUUUUUAUUUUAUUAAAUAAAUUUUUUUUGUAGA